rnacentral:rRNA from 1 species
CCUACGGGGGGCAGCAGUGGGGAAUAUUGCACAAUGGGGGAAACCCUGAUGCAGCGACGCCGCGUGAGUGAAGAAGUAUUUCGGUAUGUAAAGCUCUAUCAGCAGGGAAGAAAUAGCGACCUUUGGGUCGCCAGACGGUACCUGAUUAAGAAGCCCCGGCUAACUACGUGCCAGCAGCCGCGGUAAUACGUAGGGGGCAAGCGUUAGCCGGAUUUACUGGGUGGAAAGGAGGCGUAGGCGGCGGCGCAAGUGUGCAGUGAAAUGCCGGGGCUUAACCCCGGAACUGCGUUGGAAACUGUGCAGCUAGAGUGCAGGAGAGGUAAGUGGAAUUCCUAGUGUAGCGGUGAAAUGCGUAGAUAUUAGGAGGAACACCAGUGGCGAAGGCGGCUUACUGGACUGUAACUGACGUUGAGGCUCGAAAGCGUGGGGAGCAAACAGGAUUAGAUACCCCAGUAGUC